UAUAGAGUACAUAUUUAUAGACACCACU
rnacentral:piRNA from 1 species